rnacentral:tRNA from 1 species
GCGUUCAUAGCUCAGUGGUUAGAUCACUGGUUAAGUAAACCAGGGAUCGGGAGUUCAAUUCUCCCUGUAGACA